rnacentral:rRNA from 1 species
AGAGUUUGAUCAUGGCUCAGAUUGAACGCUGGCGGCAUGCCUUACACAUGCAAGUCGAACGGCAGCAUGAUCUAGCUUGCUAGAUUGAUGGCGAGUGGCGAACGGGUGAGUAAUACAUCGGAACGUGCCCUGUAGUGGGGGAUAACUAGUCGAAAGAUUAGCUAAUACCGCAUACGACCUGAGGGUGAAAGUGGGGGACCGCAAGGCCUCAUGCUAUAGGAGCGGCCGAUGUCUGAUUAGCUAGUUGGUGAGGUAAAGGCUCACCAAGGCGACGAUCAGUAGCUGGUCUGAGAGGACGAUCAGCCACACUGGGACUGAGACACGGCCCAGACUCCUACGGGAGGCAGCAGUGGGGAAUUUUGGACAAUGGGCGAAAGCCUGAUCCAGCAAUGGCCGCGUGUGUGAAGAAGGCCUUCGGGUUGUAAAGCACUUUUGUCCGGAAAGAAAUGGCUCUGGUUAAUACCUGGGGUCGAUGACGGUACCGGAAGAAUAAGGACCGGCUAACUACGUGCCAGCAGCCGCGGUAAUACGUAGGGUCCAAGCGUUAAUCGGAAUUACUGGGCGUAAAGCGUGCGCAGGCGGUUGUGCAAGACCGAUGUGAAAUCCCCGAGCUUAACUUGGGAAUUGCAUUGGUGACUGCACGGCUAGAGUGUGUCAGAGGGGGGUAGAAUUCCACGUGUAGCAGUGAAAUGCGUAGAGAUGUGGAGGAAUACCGAUGGCGAAGGCAGCCCCCUGGGAUAACACUGACGCUCAUGCACGAAAGCGUGGGGAGCAAACAGGAUUAGAUACCCUGGUAGUCCACGCCCUAAACGAUGUCAACUAGUUGUUGGGGAUUCAUUUCCUUAGUAACGUAGCUAACGCGUGAAGUUGACCGCCUGGGGAGUACGGUCGCAAGAUUAAAAC